rnacentral:rRNA from 1 species
CAGGAUGAACGCUGGCGGCGUGCUUAACACACGCAAGUCGAACGAAGCAGCUUCUGCUGCAAGAAGCUGACUAGUGGCGGACGGGUGAGUAACGCGUGGGUAACCUGCCUCAUACAGGGGGAUAACAGUUGGAAACGACUGCUAAGACCGCAUAACCCGCUAGUGUCGCAUGACACGGACGGAAAAUAUUUAUAGGUAUGAGAUGGGCCCGCGUCUGAUUAGCUAGUUGGUAAGGUAACGGCUUACCAAGGCGACGAUCAGUAGCCGACUUGAGAGAGUGAUCGGCCACAUUGGGACUGAGACACGGCCCAAACUCCUACGGGAGGCAGCAGUGGGGAAUAUUGGACAAUGGGGGAAACCCUGAUCCAGCGAACCGCCGCGUGAGUGAAGAAGUAUUUCGGUAUGUAAAGCUCUAUCAGCAGGGAAGAUAAUGACAGUACCUGACUAAGAAGCCCCGGCUAACUACGUGCCAGCCGCAGC